GAGAUGUUGGGUUAAGUCCCGCAACGAGCGCAACCCUCGCCCUUAGUUGCCAGCAUUUAGUUGGGCACUCUAGAAGGACUGCCGGUGAUAAGCCGGAGGAAGGUGGGGAUGACGUCAAGUCCUCAUGGCCCUUACGGGCUGGGCUACACACGUGCUACAAUGGCGGUGACAGUGGGCAGCGACCUCGCGAGGGGUAGCUAAUCUCUAAAAGCCGUCUCAGUUCGGAUUGUUCUCUGCAACUCGAGAGCAUGAAGUUGGAAUCGCUAGUAAUCGCGUAACAGCAUGACGCGGUGAAUACGUUCCCGGGCCUUGUACACACCGCCCGUCACACCAUGGGAGUUGGUUUUACCCGAAGGCGCUGCGCUAACCCGCAAGGGAGGCAGGCG
rnacentral:rRNA from 1 species